CCGGCACGAGAGUUCGAGCCGCCGACCGAAAGCGUAAGAAGGGAAAAAGACCUACUUUUGGCCAGUUUUCUCGCCCUCGCCUUGGAUCUCAUCUUGUCGGCUUGUAGAUUCCUCUCGUCCUCCGUGAGCCCAGAAGCAGCAACAACACUAUCUUCAUCUCACAAGCAUUGUCAGUUUGGACACCUUCGCACAUGCGCACAGGCCAUUCAAUCUGACACCCUCAUCAGGGCCAAAAAACUUUGCAAUGUAUUCAUCAUCACUUUUUGUCCUAUCGUCUCCCCUUUAGAUCACUUAUCUCUUCCCCUCCUCCCUCUCAGCACCAUCUCGGACCCCCUCCCCCCCUCCCCUCCCCCUACCACCGCCUUUGCCACCACCACCUUCUUGACUACCCCUUUAAGAGCAAUAACUUAUUUUUCGCAAACCUGUGGGAUCCGGACUAGCAAUGGAUACAGCAUGGUAUGUGAUGGGGUCAAGGUCGCAUCCCUCAACUGCAAGAUAGGCCUAACUCAGAAGAUGAUUAUUUACAAUUGAUGCAAUGGAUGUCUUAUCUGGCAUUGUGUUCAAAUGUAGGUUAAUCAAAUGCCAACUUUUUCCAGGGGUCAUUAUUGACUUCGCUUAUUCAGAUGCAUAAAGUUGCAUGUACGAUAGCUCUCCGUAUGAAAACAUAACGUUGCACACACAUGCUUUGCCUGCGAGCAAGCCACACGAAAACGGCAGCUGUUGACGCAUGCAGCAGCCUACUCUCAACAGACGAGACGACGAGUAGGCUACAGAACCGGGCUAGUUUUCAUUCAUUGUAUUUCUAUAGGAAGCAUGUAUAAGUAAGUUAAGGUUUUUCUACUUGAAAAUAUGCCUUAUUUCUGCACCCCUAUCAUCUCUGUGAACUAUGGUGCGAUGUAAUGAAUGCAAACAUCCCAUCGCCAUUUUUGGCACAAGGGCUCCAGGUAAAACCAGCGAGGAAGAGAAAUAGAUUGUGAAUUUCUAAUGUAAGUAUGACUUUGCCUUCCACCUGUUUUACGUGCAGCAUGCAUGGCGUUCACACGUGCAUGCUGUGUAUGAAAGCAGGCGUCUGUUGAUCGUCGCAUGCAUAUAUUAACGGUCAACGUUAGGAGUGUGCCUUCGAUGUCAGUUGGAGGUUAGGCUAUAUAUUGUGUAGCUUAAUCUGCAGCUCAUAAUGCAGCUAAGCAAUUGAAAUAGGUAAGUCUGAGCGACCUUAUGUGUGAAUGAAUAAAAUAUCUACGGUGAACUAUAUGGAUGUUGAACGAAAGAAAGGAAAAUAUUUCUAGAUGAUUUUCAAGUGACAGUAGCCUAGUUCUGUGUUAAUCUACAUGUAGGCUAGGUUGGUAUUUCUGUGCAAUUGAAGCAGUAAAGAGAACAGACAAACAAAUAUCCGAAAAAUAUACCUGGCAAACAAAACUAUGUUUAUUCGGCAUAGGCCUAAUGCAUUAUUUGCAUUUGAAGUUAAUUUCAUUAUCUGUCCUAUUGCAUGCAGUUAUUUGACAAUUAUUAAACCAUAUUACUGUAUCGUUGUUAUUAUAAUAAUAAUAUGAGUAUUGUGCUAUAUUGUAAGAACUAUUAUUAUUAUUAAUAAUAUUAUUAUUAGCAACAACAGACGCCACAUUUUUAUGCACAGGCCUACUGCAUGUAAAACCAAAUGUUGUUCAUAAAAAAAGCAUGUCGAAAUAGAUCGUUUUGAAACCUUUUUGAGAACAUUGACCUAGAAAAGAAAGGAGUUGCAUGAUCAUAAUCAGUUGUUUUACCAGGCAUUUUGAUCUCGGAGCGAGUUCCAUUUUGUGAUUUGUAAAUGGGAAAAUAGAGUGCCUCUUCGGGAAGAUAGACGGGUUAAGACCUUUAACCAAUCUCCCGUGGGACAACGCGUGCAUGUGAUCACAGCCUUGAUUGAACAUCAAGAAAAUGAUUAUUAUUCAUUUAUUAUUAAUGUAUUAUUACUUAUUACAAGUGUAUUAUUACUUUUGUUUUUUAUUAAUGGACUAUUACGGUAGUAAUUGGGCAUAAGAUGGAAUAAGAAACGUGCAGACUGUUGAAUAUUCACUAAAAAGGCCUACUGCAAUUGCAUAUUAAAUCCGUUGCGUGAUACUAUAAUUAAUUUUUUUUUAAACAUACAUCAGCACAGGACUACAAUUACUUCAACCAUAAUUGAUAACUUAAGCAAAUAUUAAAUAAUCAACCAUUUGUUUCAAUGUGCAAUACAAGUUCAAAUGAAAUGUCAUGUGGUUGACUAGGCGUCUACAUUUCAUAUCCCAAUAGCAAAACAUUUAGUAAUUUCAACUAUUGAUCUAACAUUGUUGUUUGUGGAAUCGAAUCAUAUGUUGCAAAACAGAAUUCUUACAAAGUGGGGUUAAGUAAAAAUCUUACUAUAUAGCCUAACGGACUGACAUUGAGCCAACAAUCCUCAGGUGAGUAUUCAUUUAAUUUACCAAUGCUACUUUAUUGAGCCAACUCCUGGGUGUGAGUGCGAUAGAAUGACGACUGGGAACAUCAAGUCUUGUCUCAAUCGAUUUAUUGUAUCGAUAACAUUUCAUGUUUAAGUGUGAAAAAAAGGUCCAUUCAACAGCAUUUGUUUCUUAUUUUCCCCAAAAUGUUUUCACCAAAAAUGUUUUCACCAGCUCUCCAGAACAAUUUAAACGUGGGUCGAAUCUCUCACAUUGGUCUGGACAAAUUAUUUAAUAUGGCGCAACACCUUUUUUAAGAGCAAUUAAGCCUAACUGUGAUUACGCUUGUAAAGAAAAGUGUUGCUCUUCGGUACCCGUUCAUUUGGGGAAUAGUUUUCUGCGUCAUUUAAACGUCUGCCUUUUACGAGCUCUACGUGGCGGCUGUGUAACCCCGCAUUUUUGAGUAUUUUCUUUCCAGAUUGUUGCGAUUUUCCUGCGGUUUUAACACGGGGACGGAGAGAGGCUGGCGCAGACCCCGGAGGAGAGGUGUGCUGCUUCAAUCCAGGCCGCAGUAGCAAUAUCCGUAUUUUGGUCAUUUACAGGGCAUCAAUCCAAUAUGCUAAUUAGUCAACAACUAAAAGUAGCCUAUGGCUAUUCAGAGCAGCAAACAUCACUCUUCGAAUUUAUUGAUCUUAAACGAGGGCCUAAAUAAAAAAGUAUGCCUUCAAACACUAUUAUUUUGUGCAUUUCUAUAUUUUUUAUCUAUUAGGCAACCCAUUCUAUUUAUGCUCAUCUUUCGGCAAGACCACAGAGACAACAUAGUAGACCUAAGCUUGCACUGAGUAUACACUAAAAGGAAAAGUUUCCUGCACUCUUAGAAAAAAAUGUUUCUUAUAGAACCAAAAAGGGUUAUAAUCACUUGCUUCAUAUAUGAAACCGAUCAGAACCCUAGAGGUUCUUCACUGAACUAAAAUGGUUCCAUAUAGAACCCUGCAUGGUGCCAUUUGUGAAUUAUGACUACUACUAUUAAAUAGUAUUUUUUGUUGUUGCUCAGAAUAUCAUUUAAUAAACAAUUAAAUAAUGAACAAAAGAAUACCAGCAUAGUUUUCAGAAUUUGUCAUGACAUGCAAAAUUGCCAGGGAGGCAUCUCUUUGUUUGAAUGAAGGCCCACGUCAACUCUGGCUGACUUCUUCACGAUGCAACUUUGUCCAUUAGUUACAGUGAACGACAAAAACAUGUCUUCUGCUCCAUUUUCAACUCCCCCAAACAGCAGACCUCACACAUACAGUUGAGAUGAGCACAGGUUCAAGCUGCAGUGCCCCUGGAUGUAGAGCAUGUUGUGGGAUUAAGGGCCCAACAGUAGGGGAAUAUUUUAAGGAUGUGAACACAGCCCUCCAGUUGUAAGAUCAAUUCCACCCUUUUUUCCCAGCACCCCAUCCGGGAUUCGAACCAACCCAGCUCCAACUCCUGCCACAGGAUCAAACACCUUAGCCGCUGGGUUACCUACUGCCAGGAGGAAGGAAGUGUGGGAUGGAGGAAGUGGUACUCACUAAGCAAGCAGCGAGACGUCCUUUACAGUGGUGCCAUGACCCGGAUCUACAUUGGUGCUCAGCUCAACGCUGGGUUUGCUGUUGAGGAAGUUUGAGGGGUGAAUGUAGCACAUGGGGAUGUGUGAAACUUACUCCACAGCCUGAAGUGUCUCACCUCAAUGGCAAGCUUUUUGAGGGAUCGGCUAAGAUGCUUGAGGAGAGCGGCCACAUGUGUUUGUGAGGCAGAGAUCCCGAGUUCGAGCCUGGUAUGGAAGUGGUACUCGCUAAGCAACAGCGUGGCGUCCUUUACAUAUACACUGAAUAUACAAAACAUUAGGAACAUCUGCUCUUUCCAUGAGACUGACCAGGUG
rnacentral:lncRNA from 1 species